CCUACGGGUGGCAGCAGUGAGGAAUAUUGGUCAAUGGCCGGAAGGCUGAACCAGCCAUGCCGCGUGAAGGUCAGUGCCCUAUGGGCGUUAAACUUCUUUUGUGCGGGAGCAAUAAUGGUCACGUGUGGCCAGACGAGAGUACCGUACGAAUAAGCAUCGGCUAACUCCGUGCCAGCAGCCGCGGUAAUACGGGGGAUGCAAGCGUUAUCCGGAUUUAUUGGGUUUAAAGUGUGCGUAGGCUGUGAGGUAAGUCAGCGGUGAAAUGCCCCCGCUCAACGGGGUGAAGUGCCAUUGAUACUGCCUGGCUGGAAUGCGGAUGCGGUGGGAGGAAUGUGUGGUGUAGCGGUGAAAUGCAUAGAUAUCACACAGAACACCGAUUGCGAAGGCAUCUCACGAAUCCGCGAUUGACGCUGAUGCACGAAAGCGUGGGUAUCAAACAGGAUUAGAUACCCGGGUAGUC
rnacentral:rRNA from 1 species